rnacentral:rRNA from 1 species
AUACGUAGGUGGCGAGCGUUAUCCGGAUCUAUUGGGUUUAAAGGGAGCGUAGGUGGGAUAUUAAGUCAGCUGUGAAAGUUUGGGGCUCAACCUUAAAAUUGCAGUUGAUACUGGUUUCCUUGAGUACGGUACAGGUGGGCGGAAUUCGUGGUGUAGCGGUGAAAUGCUUAGAUAUCACGAAUAACUCCGAUCGCGAAGGCAGCUCACCGGGCCGGAACUGACACUGAGGCUCGAAAGUGCGGGUAUCAAACAGGAUUAGAUACCCUGGUAGUCCGCACAUUAAACGAUGAAUACUCGCUGUUUGCGAUACCCGGUAAGCGGCCAAGCGAAAGCGUUAAGAAUUCCCCCGGGGAGUAAGCCGGCAACGGUGAAACUCAAAUGAAUUGACGGGG